CAUGAUACAGAAUCAACAGUGAUGGUGAAGAUCCCACAGUACUGACAAAAGGAAUCUGAAUGGAUAGAGAACGGAACUUUAAGAGACUGGAGAGCAAUUUUAGGUUAAGAAACAUGCCACUUCUCCAAAUCCAGAAAGUGAAGAUCCAUGAAGAUGCCUCCACAUACCACAAGCUGCACCAGACGUUCCAGAAUGAACUUUGGGAUGUGAUGAUCAGAACUGUGUGGGAUUGAAUGCAUUUGUUUUGUAAGUAUGCCUUCUUAUGCCGAAGGGGACUGCCCCCUAACUGGCUUUUUGUUAAUGUUCCUAGUAAUUGUUGGUUUUGUUCCCUUUUCCUCUUAUCCUCAAAUUAUUGUAAUUUCAAAGUUGGUAUCUUUACAAGACCCAUCGGAGAGACUAGUCUUCCUCGACUCUCAGGGGGAAUGUAUAAUUGAAAAAUCUGUUACCCUAAAAAAGAAAUACAUAUCCCAAGAGCCCACUGACUUCCUGUCAUUAUGUACUUCCUCUAGAGAGAGGAUAAAGGGAGUAGUCAUUGAGGUUCCUCCUCUCUAUUUGGGUAUGAUACAGAAUCAGCAGUGAUAGUGGUGAGUGGGGAUUUUUAAAAUGGCUAACCUGUCAUGGGCACAUGGUCUUUAUUUUGUAUCCCCUUUAUUCCUUGAUUUCUAAUGAUCAUUUAAUAAAACCUUUAAAAUCUA